GGUCAGAGCAACACGCAGUCACAUAAGUUUCUGAAAUGUGUCACUGGUUUUCCUCUGACUAAU
rnacentral:pre_miRNA from 1 species